rnacentral:rRNA from 1 species
UACAGAGGGUGCAAGCGUUGUUCGGAAUUACUGGGCGUAAAGCGUGCGUAGGCGGUGAUUUAAGUCUGCUGUGAAAUCCCCGGGCUCAACCUGGGAAUGGCAGUGGAUACUGGAUCGCUAGAGUGUGAUAGAGGAUGGUGGAAUUCCCGGUGUAGCGGUGAAAUGCGUAGAGAUCGGGAGGAACAUCAGUGGCGAAGGCGGCCAUCUGGAUCAACACUGACGCUGAGGCACGAAAGCGUGGGGAGCAAACAGG